CGGUGAAUACGUUCCCGGACCUUGCACACACCGCCCCGUCAAGCCAUGGAAGCUGGGUGUACCUAAAGUCGGUAACCGCAAGGAGCCGCCUAGGGUAAAACUAGUAACUGGGGCU
rnacentral:rRNA from 1 species